AGUUAAUGAACUUGAAUAAGUAUAUGUUUUGAAAACAUAAAAUAGAAAUAUUAUUUUCUAUUAACUU
rnacentral:tRNA from 1 species